rnacentral:tRNA from 1 species
GUCACCGCCGGUCCGGACGUGCUUGGGACCGACCAUCCGGCGGUCCGCGAGGCGCGGGCAUACCUCGACGAUGCCGGUCCCAGCCCGGCCGAUGGCC